GUGCGACUACAAUAUACACAAGAUUGGCAGGAUUGAGCGCAUGUACAUGUGUGGGUGUGUGUGCUUGUGUGUGUGUCUAGAUGUGUAUGAGUGUAGGUUAUGUUUGAUGGCUGGACAUUCACAAAUGAGCCCCGUUAUUAUUAUUGUCUCAUGCAAGCCCCAGGAUGUAAGACUUACCUGUUAACACGCUAACGCUACACUUAGGCCCGCUUUUCUCAAUGUCUAGUUUCGCUCUCUUCUUACAUAAUACAGUUUCUGAUAAAAAAAAAAAAUUGCAAAAUUGCGUUUUAAAUAAGGACGUCACGUUACAGAAGUUUGAAGAGAUAUUUUUUGAUACUUUCUAACACGAUCAAAAAAGUGUGCCCAACUGGCAGUAGUUAAAUUGACAUUAAAAAAUCCAAAUGCCGACACUAAUAGACAGAUUUACUGGACAUUGGAAAAACGCGCCAAGUUUGAGAGAAAAGUUCAGAUCGGAUGUGAAAAGCUAUCGCAAUUGGUAGUACUAUAUACAUUGAUGUACAUACAAUCAAAUUGAAUUUCGUCUAUAAAAACACUAACUAAGCGGCUCCAGCCGCAAUAAAUUAUCGUUGUCUUAUUAACUAGAAA